rnacentral:rRNA from 1 species
CCUACGGGUGGCAGCAGUGGGGAAUAUUGGACAAUGGGGGGAACCCUGAUCCAGCCAUGCCGCGUGUGUGAAGAAGGCCCUCGGGUUGUAAAGCACUUUCAGUGAGGAAGAACGCCUGGUGGUUAAUACCCAUCAGGAAAGACAUCACUCACAGAAGAAGCACCGGCUAACUCCGUGCCAGCAGCCGCGGUAAUACGGAGGGUGCGAGCGUUAAUCGGAAUUACUGGGCGUAAAGCGCGCGUAGGUGGCUUGAUAAGCCGGUUGUGAAAGCCCCGGGCUCAACCUGGGAACGGCAUCCGGAACUGUCAAGCUAGAGUGCAGGAGAGGAAGGUAGAAUUCCCGGUGUAGCGGUGAAAUGCGUAGAGAUCGGGAGGAAUACCAGUGGCGAAGGCGGCCUUCUGGACUGACACUGACACUGAGGUGCGAAAGCGUGGGUAGCAACCAGGAUUAGAUACCCCGGUAGUC